CAUAGGUUAAUGAGGCGAACCGGGGGAACUGAAACAUCUAAGUACCCCGAGGAAAAGAAAUCAACCGAGAUUCCCCCAGUAGCGGCGAGCGAACGGGGAGGAGCCCAGAGCCUGAAUCAGCAUGUGUGUUAGUGGAAGCGUCUGGAAAGGCGCGCGAUACAGGGUGACAGCCCCGUACACAAAAGCGCAUGUGCUGUGAGCUCGAUGAGUAGGGCGGGACACGUGGUAUCCUGUCUGAAUAUGGGGGGACCAUCCUCCAAGGCUAAAUACUCCUGACUGACCGAUAGUGAACCAGUACCGUGAGGGAAAGGCGAAAAGAACCCCGGCGAGGGGAGUGAAAAAGAACCUGAAACCGUGUACGUACAAGCAGUGGGAGCCCCACCACCAAAGCAU
rnacentral:rRNA from 1 species